GGCUGGUCCGAAGGUAGUGAGUUAUCUCACUUGAUUGAUUGUUCACAGUCAGUUACAGAUUAAACUCCUUGUUCUACUACUUUCCCUCCUUCUCACUACUAUACUUGACUAGUCAAAA
rnacentral:Y_RNA from 1 species